rnacentral:rRNA from 1 species
AUGGGGGGACGGAUCGUGGAAGGUUGUCCGGGUGUUGGAAGUCCCGGUUCUUGGCUUGUAGGUGUCUGGUAGGAAAAUCCGCCAGGCGUAUACCGAGGGGUUGAGACGAGCGAGCUUGCUCGCGAAGCAACUGGAAGGGGUCCCAGGAAAAGCCUCUAAGCUUCAGCUCAGAGCGACCGUACCGCAAACCGACACUGGUGCGCGAGAUGAGUAUUCUAAGGCGCUUGAGAGAACUCUGGAGAAGGAACUCGGCAAAUUGACACCGUAACUUCGGGAGAAGGUGUGCCCUCAGUAGGUGAACCUGUACAAGGGGAGCCCAAAGGGGUUGCAAAGAAUAGGUGGCUGCGACUGUUUAUUAAAAACACAGCACUCUGCAAACACGAAAGUGGACGUAUAGGGUGUGACGCCUGCCCGGUGC